AGCGAACGCUGGCGGCAGGCCUAACACAUGCGAGUCGAACGAACUCUUCGGAGUUAGUGGCGGACGGGUGAGUAACACGUGGGAACGUGCCUUUAGGUUCGGAAUAACUCAGGGAAACUUGUGCUAAUACCGAAUGUGCCCUUCGGGGGAAAGAUUAUCGCCUUUAGAGCGGCCCGCGUCUGAUUAGCUAGUUGGUGAGGUAAAGGCCCACCAAGGCGACGAUCAGUAGCUGGUCUGAGAGGAUGAUCAGCCACAUUGGGACUGAGACACGGCCCAAACUCCUACGGGAGGCAGCAGUGGGGAAUCUUGCGCAAUGGGCGAAAGCCUGACGCAGCCAUGCCGCGUGAAUGAUGAAGGUCUUAGGAUUGUAAAAUUCUUUCACCGGGGACGAUAAUGACGGUACCCGGAGAAGAAGCCCCGGCUAACUUCGUGCCAGCCGCCGCCGUAA
rnacentral:rRNA from 1 species